GCUAGGGGUGGAAGUUGAGUUGGUAAGGGCGUACGGCUACCAACCUGAAGGUUGCAGGUUCGAUUCCCGCCCUUUGCA